UCUUGACCUUGUAAGACCUUUUCUUGACCUUGUAAGACCCCG
rnacentral:siRNA from 1 species